AAUUUUUUUGGUAGCAAUACCGAAAAAAUUUCAGUGGCGAACGGGUGCGUAACACGUGGGCAAUCUGCCGAGAAGUGGGGGAUAGCUCGCCGAAAGGCGAAUUAAUACCGCAUGUGAUGAGGGGAGACAUCUUCCCGAAAUCAAAGGUGGCGCAAGCUACCGCUUUUUGAGGAGCCCGCGGCCUAUCAGCUUGUUGGUGAGGUAACGGCUCACCAAGGCGUUGACGGGUAGCUGGUCUGAGAGGACGACCAGUCACACUGGGACUGAGACACGGCCCAGACACCUACGGGUGGCAGCAGUCGAGAAUUUUUCUCAAUGGGGGAAACCCUGAAGGAGCGACGCCGCGUGGAGGAUGAAGGUCUUCGGGUUGUAAACUCCUGUCAUUUGGGAACAAGGCUGCGCAGUUAACUGCUGCGUAGUUGAUAGUACCAGAAGAGGAAGAGACGGCUAACUCUGUGCCAGCAGCCGCGGUAAUACAGAGGUCUCAAGCGUUGUUCGGAUUCAUUGGGCGUAAAGGGUGCGUAGGUGGCGCGGUAAGUCGGGUGUGAAAUUUCGGAGCUUAACUCCGAAACUGCAUUCGAUACUGCCGUGCUUGGGGACUGGAGAGGAGACUGGAAUUUACGGUGUAGCAGUGAAAUGCGUAGAGAUCGUAAGGAAGACCAGUGGCGAAGGCGGGUCUCUGGACAGUUCCUGACACUGAGGCACGAAGGCCAGGGGAGCAAACGGGAUUAGAUACCCCGGUAGUCCUGGCAGUAAACGGUGCACGUUUGGUGUGGGAGGAUUCGACCCCUUCUGCGCCGGAGCUAACGCGUUAAACGUGCCGCCUGGGGAGUACGGUCGCAAGAUUAAAACUC
rnacentral:rRNA from 1 species